rnacentral:rRNA from 1 species
AUACGUAGGGGGCGAGCGUUGUCCGGAAUGAUUGGGCGUAAAGGGCGCGUAGGCGCCCCGGUAAGUCUGGAGGGAAAGUCCUGUUUUUAAGAUGGGAAUUGCUUUGGAUACUGUCGGGCUUGAGUGCAGGAGAGGUAAGUGGAAUUCCCGGUGUAGCGGUGAAAUGCGUAGAGAUUGGGAGGAACACCAGUGGCGAAGGCGACUUACUGGACUGUAACUGACGCUGAGGCGCGAAAGUGUGGGGAGCAAACAGGAUUAGAUACCCUGGUAGUCCACACUGUAAACGAUGAAUGCUAGGUGUAGGGGGUAUCGACCCCUUCUGUGCCGCAGUCAACACAAUAAGCAUUCCGCCUGGGGAGUACGGCCGCAAGGUUGAAACUCAAAGGAAUUGGCGGGG